rnacentral:rRNA from 1 species
UACAGAGGGGGCAAGCGUUGUUCGGAAUUACUGGGCGUAAAGGGCGCGUAGGCGGCCUUCUAAGUCAGACGUGAAAUCCCCGGGCUCAACCCGGGAACUGCGUCUGAUACUGGAAGGCUUGAAUCCGGGAGAGGGAUGCGGAAUUCCAGGUGUAGCGGUGAAAUGCGUAGAUAUCUGGAGGAAUACCGGUGGCGAAGGCGGCAUCCUGGACCGGCAUUGACGCUGAUGAGCGAAAGCUAGGGGAGCAAACGGG